CUUCCGGUGCGCAGGCAGCGGAUACUUCCAAUCCAUCGGCCGCGGGUUCGACUCCCGCUCGGAGCU
rnacentral:tRNA from 1 species